GGACGAACGCUGGCGGCGUGCUUAACACAUGCAAGUCGAACGCUGAAGCUUGGUGCUUGCACCGGGUGGAUGAGUGGCGAACGGGUGAGUAAUACGUGAGUGACCUACCUUGGACUCUGGGAUAAGCCUGGGAAACUGGGUCUAAUACCGGAUAUGACCAAUGGGCGCAUGCUCUGUUGGUGGAAAGGGUUUGUACUGGUCUUUGAUGGGCUCACGGCCUAUCAGCUUGUUGGUGAGGUAAUGGCUUACCAAGGCGACGACGGGUAGCCGGCCUGAGAGGGUGACCGGCCACACUGGGACUGAGACACGGCCCAGACUCCUACGGGAGGCAGCAGUGGGGAAUAUUGCACAAUGGGCGCAAGCCUGAUGCAGCGACGCCGCGUGAGGGAUGACGGCCUUCGGGUUGUAAACCUCUUUCAGCAGGGAAGAAGCGAAAGUGACGGUACCUGCAGAAGAAGCGCCGGCUAACUAC
rnacentral:rRNA from 1 species